rnacentral:rRNA from 1 species
GAAGAGUUUGAUCAUGGCUCAGAUUGAACGCUGGCGGCAGGCCUAACACAUGCAAGUCGAACGGUAACAGGAAGCAGCUUGCUGCUUUGCUGACGAGUGGCGGACGGGUGAGUAAUGUCUGGGAAACUGCCUGAUGGAGGGGGAUAACUACUGGAAACGGUGGCUAAUACCGCAUAACGUCGCAAGACCAAAGAGGGGGACCUUCGGGCCUCUUGCCAUCAGAUGUGCCCAGAUGGGAUUAGCUUGUUGGUGAGGUAACGGCUCACCAAGGCGACGAUCCCUAGCUGGUCUGAGAGGAUGACCAGCCACACUGGAACUGAGACACGGUCCAGACUCCUACGGGAGGCAGCAGUGGGGAAUAUUGCACAAUGGGCGCAAGCCUGAUGCAGCCAUGCCGCGUGUAUGAAGAAGGCCUUCGGGUUGUAAAGUACUUUCAGCGGGGAGGAAGGUGUUGUGGUUAAUAACCGCAGCAAUUGACGUUACCCGCAGAAGAAGCACCGGCUAACUCCGUGCCAGCAGCCGCGGUAAUACGGAGGGUGCAAGCGUUAAUCGGAAUUACUGGGCGUAAAGCGCACGCAGGCGGUCUGUCAAGUCGGAUGUGAAAUCCCCGGGCUCAACCUGGGAACUGCAUUCGAAACUGGCAGGCUUGAGUCUUGUAGAGGGGGGUAGAAUUCCAGGUGUAGCGGUGAAAUGCGUAGAGAUCUGGAGGAAUACCGGUGGCGAAGGCGGCCCCCUGGACAAAGACUGACGCUCAGGUGCGAAAGCGUGGGGAGCAAACAGGAUUAGAUACCCUGGUAGUCCACGCCGUAAACGAUGUCUACUUGGAGGUUGUGCCCUUGAGGCGUGGCUUCCGGAGCUAACGCGUUAAGUAGACCGCCUGGGGAGUACGGCCGCAAGGUUAAAACUCAAAUGAAUUGACGGGGGCCCGCACAAGCGGUGGAGCAUGUGGUUUAAUUCGAUGCAACGCGAAGAACCUUACCUGGUCUUGACAUCCACAGAACUUUCCAGAGAUGGAUUGGUGCCUUCGGGAACUGUGAGA